CUUGGGUGAUGUGUGCUCCAAAAUCUCACAAAUCACCAAUAAAGAACUUACUCAUGUAACCAACAUGAGUUAUAAAGAACAACUAAUGACCUGUAAUAACCUGUGGAAAAAUAAAUAAAUAAGAAGAAAAAAGAGAUAGUAUUCAAUAAAAUAAAAGGUGAAGAACGAUGUCUGGUAUACCAGUCAGCUGAGUUACAAAAACAAAAAUCUGUGUCUGUGUGUACAUGUGUGUUUUAUUUUAUAUCUUUCCUUUUGUGUUUAUACAUAUCCAUACCCACACACAGAAUCUGCUUGUACAGGGAUAGAAUGUCUCUAGAAACAGUUACAAGGAAGUUAUCACACUGGUUUAUUCCAUGGGUGGAGGUACGGGAGCUUGUGUUCAAAGGAAAUUUUUUUACUAUAUACUUUUCACAUCUUUUGCGUUAUUUUGUGAAUGUGUUACUCUUCCAAAUAAACACACACAUUAACAAAACAAUACAAACACUAAGGAAAAAAUUUCAGAAGAGAGAGGUGAAUAUUUUUGACUCAGAUAUCCAUCUGGCUUUUGAAUUCUCCAGUACUCCUUGCAAUGAAAUUGUCAAACUGCCAACAGAGAAGCAUUAUUCAGGGUUCUUGGUUUUCUGAGUGUCAAGGCUCUCUUUGGCAUUUGGUAAUACUUUAGAAAUGUUUACAGAAACAAAAUUCAUGGGAAUAAAAUAUAGAAGUUAUAUUGAAAAAAUUAAAAUAUUUUUAAUUUGUCGAUUUAGUAAUAAAUGAACUGCUUUAUUAAUGCUAUAUAUGAUUUACUGACAUGAAAUUUUGAAUUAUCUACAAAAAUUGUAGUGUGAUAUAAAAUUAUUCGUAAUUUCUAUUGGUGAUAAAGCACUCUAAAUAGUACUGUGGUUUGUUGUUUACAAUUGUCAUUAAACGAAAUGUUAAAUUUCUGUUGGAUGUUAGUAAGAAUAAAGGAAUAUAUUUUUUUCCUACUCAUGUUCACAGACUCCUGAAAGAGUUUUUGGGGGUAUGCUGGAAAAGAAAUAACUUUGGAUCAAUCCACUGAACAAAACAUAGUAAGGUCUAUGACGGAGCACUAGCCAGCCUGAGGAUAUCCCAAGACUCACCACAGAGACAAUGUGUGAGCUAGGUCUUACAAGACAAGCAAGAAUUUGCCAGAUGAAUAAGGAGAAAAAUGAACGUUUCAAGAGAAGGAACAAUGUGAACAAUAGCAGAAAGGUGUGGAAACUUGUGGAACUGCAACACAGAGACAAUUAUUUGUAUUUCAUUAAUCCUGAUGCACAAAGUAAAGGGAGGAGUUGGGGGAGAUGAGUCUGCAGAGAAGGACACGAAUGUGCAUUGGAGAACGCUGUACGCAUUGCUGAGGAGCUUGGAUUUUAUUCAGUGAGCAACGGGGAGCCUCUGAAGAACUAUAAUGAGGGAAGUUACAUGGUCUGAAUUGUGUUUUCUGUUGAGUGCUCUGGCUGCACUAUGGAAGAUGGGUUUAGGUUGGUGGGAGACCUAAGUCUGUGCAGAGAUAAUUAGUAAUGAAAUGGGAACAUACCUUUUAGAAUGAGGACAUAGGAUAGCGCUAAGAAAUACUUAUGAUACUGUGGUAGAUUGGGUCGUAAGUCUCUAAUUCUUUGUGUUCUCCCUGUUUUGGAAUUACACGCCCACAGCAUUUGCCACGUGAGAUUGUCCCUUGCACUAGAGGCAGAGUAUAUUUCCCACCCCUUGUCUUUGGGCUUAAUUAUUUUCUUUGGACAAUGGGAUAUGAGUAGACUUGUUAUAAACAGAGGUUUGAUAUGUGAGUAUGCAAUUAACCCUCUUGAAUUUAUCACCACAAAACAUACUCUAGGUAGCUUCUAGUUCCAGGAGGAUGGGAAUACCUCUGAAUCUCAUACUUGGUCUGAGGCCAAACCCAGUUGCCUUGCAGUCUGAAGCAGAGCAUCCCUGAUAGGUCCAGCCUAAAUCAGCAGAAACACAGUCACCCCCUAGAACCAUACAAAUGAGAACAAAUGCCUACAGUGGCCAGCCACUGAGAUUUUCAGGUUGUUUUUUAUGUAAUACAAGGUGAUAAGUAGAGAUAUUAAGUUAGAAGUAUUCAGUAGUUGAAUGGAUAUAGAGUUUAGAAAAUGGGGAACCAGUGGAAGAGAUUCUCUAGGUUCUGAUUAGAGUAGUUGAGGAUAUAACAGUUCAAAAAAUGAGACAGAAUUAGUGGAAGAGAAACAGCUUUUGUGGCAGAAGUUAACGAGGUCACUAUGAGAUAUUUUGAGUUGGAACUCUUGGUGAAACAUUUACAUGAGAUGAUUUAACCUUCAGUUGUAUAUUUAAGUCAAGGUUUGAAAAGAAAUCAAGAUUGAAGUCAGAAAAGUGUAAGUCAUUAGGUUAUAGUGGGUAGCUAAUAUCAUGAAAGUUAUUAAGAUGGCUCAGGGAGAGGGAAUAGUGAAUAUAAAAUUGGGCCAAAGAAAAAACAGUGAUAACUCAAAGAAAGUCUUGAUAGAGUAGAAGGAAUCAAUAAAAGAUGCUGAGAAAAAAUUGUUUAUAGCUAGAUGGAGAAACACAGUAUUACAGAAAAUAAGAGAUAAGUGAGUUUUAAGAAGAGAUAGAACAAUAUUAUUGAAUAUGGCUAUAAUGGGCUGGUGUAGAGCCAAACUGCAAGUGGCAUGAUUUGAGAAGAAAAUCUUAUUUUUGUCAGAAACAUAUUCCUAAACUAGCAAUUGCAUCCAUAUAUCUCAACCACAAGCAGGCCUUUAUGUAAUGGAAUAGCAGAUUCGGGAGAUUAGUUACCUUUAUAUAAGUCUAUUUAUAAUGUUAUAAGCAAAAUUGAACAGAUUACUUUAAAACCCUACAUAUCAAAUAUUAAAGUAUUUCUUCAGACUCUUUACAUAAUUAAUAUCUGAUUCUUGAAACAACCAUGGAGGUAGGAGCAACCGAUGAAUUGCCAUUCAAACUCAAACUUCAAAUUUGGCUUCAAAUCCCAUUUCUUUAGCAACAUUACAUCAUAUAGAUUAUGGCUACGAAGUGGAAUACCAAUUAUGUGUGAGUGUGUUUCCAUGUCUCAGUAUCUAAUGAGCCCAUUUGAUCUAUGAGAAUCACUUUGGUUAUUACCGAAAGCAGACAAGAGCAUUUUAGCAGUAACUAUGCUUUAUUGCAUCUGUUAAGCAGAAAUGUAGGCAAUCUAGGAUCAAGGCAUGACAAAACGUGUUUCUAGCUCUGUUUUAAAGCCUUAUUAUGCUUUGCCUAAAUGUUUUAAAACAUUAUGUUCCAGCAAUGUUGGAUUUAAUUGAAAGCUGUCUUAUAAAAUUAAUUCAGUCAAAUGCAAUUGGUGAAAGUUGUUGAGAGACAGUGGUGUUCAUUUUUUCAAGUGCUGAAAUUCUGAUGGAGUUUGGGGCAGAGGAAAAAGAGUAAGACAAUCAGUAGGAAGACAAAUAUUUCCAUUUUCUUUUUAAAUAACUGGUUAUGAUAUGCAUUUUAGGGUCAUGUCCCACCACUCAGCAACAAUUAAUGCUAGAAUAUUGGUUAUGUUAGUGAAUAUGCUUCUUUCCACUUUUUUC
rnacentral:lncRNA from 1 species